GGUAAUCCAAUCAAUACACCCUUUACCUCGAUGACUUGUGGCUUGAGCACAGUAGCAGGUCUCAUAGGUAUAAGUUACAAACCAGAGACAGACCCAUUUUCAACCUGAUGAGUGUGGCAGAAAUGGGACAGGGACAGCAAUGGUGUAUAGCUCUGAACACCUCUUUUCUUAACUUGGUUAAGAAGAUGAAACCUGAGAUUAUGUAGUCUCUGGCGAAGCUACAGCUUCACCAACCCUGUUCUUAUGACUUCACCUGGACUCAAGAUAUCUGCAUCUAAACACCAUAGGUCCUCUACAUGGUUUGGUCCUGGAAAGAUGAAGACCUUGACACUGGCUAUUUUGAAUGACUUACACAUCACAUUUCUUUGUCACAGCAUCUUUAUGAGAAGACAUGGAAUGGGAGGAACAGUUUUUUCAUUGUUAGGCUCCUUCAGUUACAUCAUUGAUUGCCUUCUUUUUUUAAAAUAUUUCUUUUUAUUAAGGGAGGAGAUAAGUACAUGAUUGAACAAAUGGAACUGCAGGGUGUGCCCUUUACAAGACUUGGUGAAACAAUAAAUCCAUCAGAAGGCAUGUGUCAAUAUCCUACAAGGAAACUUCAUGCAACAACAUUCAAUGACGUUGAAUAUAUACAGAUGUAAGAGGCUCAGGGAGGCCUCACAACUCUUGCCACUUGAAGGAUUCUUAAGACCCAAAUGUCAUCAGGCAUUUUUUGAAGCUAUAUUUGGCAGAAGGUCUGUGACUGUUGUUGUGAUUUAACAUUUAUUUCAUAAAACAAAAUUAAGAGCCCUCUUCCCACACCCCCAAAUCUGAAUCUCUUUUUUUUCUUUUGCACUGAUAAUAGGUUAGAGGGGACCAUUACUUGUGUUUGUCUAUGAGUUUUGAAAUGCUGCUUUUUUUCAGCAGUCUAUAUAAUAGCUCCUCUUCUAAUCCUGUAACUUAGUUUGUAAAGGUGAUUCAUGAAGCAAGAAAGCAUAGCCAGGGUCAAAGUCAGGAGUCUUCCCUGCAAGGACUGAAAAUCCAUAGGGUUUUCUAUUUCUAUAUAAAAACAAAGCUGUGUUUUAUGAUUUUAUGGCCUCUGAAGAUAGCUUUUUAAUUUUGGUAUAGAAACUAAAAUUAAUCACAUAGUUUAUGCCAUUUUGAUUUCAAAAUUGUUCUUGUUUAUUUCUACUCAAACAUCCAUUCAAUAAACAUUUACUGAGUAGCUACUGCCUGUUAGGUAUUCUUCAAAGCACUUCAAAGACAAACCAAGGAGCAAAGUGAGAAGGGCUAUGAAUGGUGGUAACUCGGAAGGUGGCUGUAGGUGGUGGUUUUCUAUAAUACAGCUCUCUGAGAGGAAAAGCUUUGUCAACAAGAUCUCAAGAAAGUGAAGGAGCAAACUAUGCAGGUAGGUGAUGGAUGAGGUUUCUGAAUAGCCUAUUACGAAGCGGCAAGCUGUGAGGGUAUUCUGGGGGAACCAUGGAUUACGUGGCUAGAUCCAAGUGAACAGAGAAAGCAGGUCAGAGAAAGGGUAGCUGGGGAGGAUGAAAAGGUAGGGAAGAUUUCACUGGCUUUAUUGGCCACAUGAAUAUGUUAUUCUGAGCUAGCUGGGAGGACACUGUAGAGCUUAGAAGAAGAGUGGCAUAGUUUGGCUUGUAUUCUAAAAGCAUUAUGGCAGGUAGAAAGUAGCCUGGGCCCAGAUCAGAUCAUUGAUAUACCCCAAAUCUAAGUAAGGCCACAUUUCUAAAAUAUAGUAUUUGAAAGUGUAAAAUUAGGGUGUGACAAUGAGAUUUUUCUGGUGUGGAAGAGUGGAGCUGACAUUUUAACAAUCAGAGGAACACCAUGAAUCAGUUUCGUUUUGUUUUGUUUUGGUUUUUUUGGGGGGUGGGGUGGGGGAGGCAGGACACAGCACAUAUCCAAGUGAAGCUACAUAUUAUAGAAUUAGGCCUGUGACUCCAGCAUUUAGGAAAGAGACUGGGGUUGGAGAUGAAGAUGUGCUUUAUGCCAUUGUAUAGAUGGUUUCUAAGGCCCAACAUUGAAGAGAUCACCUGGAAAAGGGAUAUCCAGCACAGGCUACUAGCACAUGCCAACACACAGGGAAAUCCAAGGCACAGGGACUGUUUCAAGAAGCAGUUCUUCACUGUGUCAAAGAUUGAAGAUUAGCAGCAUGCAACCAAAGCUGGUUGCUGCACUGGGCAGCGAGGCAGUUAGUUAAGUCACCAUUCUGGGGAUGAAAGACCGAGUUUAAAUGUUUCUAAAGAACAAGGAAAGAAAGAAAGAAAUGUAGUUAGUAACCACAGUUCCUCUGGGGUAGUUUUUCUUUGAAGGGAAGCAGACCAAAUAGAUGGAAAUGAAAUGGGGUACUCAGGUCUAGGGGAGGGUUCUAGCACAGGACAUGGGUGAAAUCCUCCAUAGAAUGGGAGACAUUAGUGAUACAAAAGGGAAAGGUUAUGGGUGAAGCAAUGGUCUUUGCUUGGAAAGGUUGUAAAAGACACAGGAGCCAAUGGGAGCAAUUUCCCACUAUGGCUUUAGGAACUUUUAUUGUCAUCAAUAAUAAGUGUCCCCAGAAAGAUUUAAACAAAAAGCGAAGCCAGAGUAUUUGUAGGUGUGUCUAAAUGAGUACUAAAAUCAUCAAGCAUUCAGAAGGGUAGUGCUGUAAAGGCAGGGGCCAAGGGCUGAGUACAUGAGCAACAUGAAAGAGGGACUGAAGGGGACCAGCAACUUUCUUGGUGGAUGAAAGAGAAGUGGCUAUUAGGAAGAGGAAGGACGGCUUGUGACCUGGAAAUAGCAAUGAGGAAUUAUCAUGUGUCUGUUCCUGUUAGCAGUUCAUAACUCUGUAUGAUAUGCAUGGCACAUCUCAGGUUAUGGAUCUAGGCACUCUUCUGCUUAGAGCUUUCCAAAGUCUUCCCAACUGCAGAUGAACAUAUGUAGAAAGUGCUUGAAGAACUGUGGUGUAAAUGAAGGAAAAAGCAUACUUAAAAAUAAAAGUUUCAGACUGGAAGAUCUGCCGGUACAGCUAUAUCCAGUUUUGCCAGAUUUCUGACCAUUCAAAAAGUUUUUGAAAACUAGAGGUUUAAAAAAUGUAAGCAAUCAUAGGCACAGCAAAAGAAUACUUUCCCCUUCUGGUAUUGUAGAUUUGCCACCUCUCUACAGCUACAUUAGUAGCAUACAACAGCUAAAAUGUCAAAACGGAAAGUCCCUUUAAAACAUGCAGUUUAGGGCUCUCUCCAUCCCCUCACUGCUGCUAUCAGACAUGUGAACUUCUGACUUAGGGAAAUGCCUUAGGUCCCUGAAACAAACUACAGUAUGUACUGCUAUGCUUUAACCUGGGAAACAGGAUAUGCAAAGGGGCAACGGAGAUGGGGAUAGUUGCUAAGUCUGAUGGUAGCCCAUUGCUUGGAAUGAAUACAUGCCUUCCCGUCAGCAUUCA